AAGGCACUUACCACCACUGCCCAUUUUUAAUAGCCUAGCAUAGCAACAGGGCUCAGGGAAGCCACUGGCUGGGAGUGGCCGGGAACUGGUUGGCUCUUCCUUCUCCAAUGUUGAGUUCAUUCAGGCAUACAUAGGCCACCUCAGAAUGAAGACUUUGGCAGUUUUUAUAACCCUGGGAGCUUUCUCUGUUUUCAACUUUCUCAGCCUACUGUGAAAUCCAAUUUAGAACUUAGCCAGCCCUGAUAAUUCCACCACCAUUCAUGUGUCGGCAGGGUAACAACCUGGGCUGCCUGGCCCAGUGGUUCAGAGAAUAGGGCAACUUACCACCAACCCUGACAGCCUGGUUUUGAUCCCAGGGCCCCACAUGGUGGAAGAAGAGACCUGAAAGCCGCACACGUUGUCCUUUGACCUCCACACAUGCACUAUAACACACACACACACACACACACACACACACACACACACACACACACACACACACACGUUAUUUUUUAAGAAAAAUCAGGAUCCAAAUAUGAGUGUUUUUUUUUAAGUGUUUGAGAGAGAGGAAAGUAAAGGGGAAAUGGAAGCUGGGGUGGCCUUACCUGAGCCAGGAAAGCCGGGGCAUCAGCAGGGCAAGAAGAGGCCACAGAGCUGCAGCAGGUGGCUGGCUGCCCUGGGCUUUGCUGAAGGCCAUUCUCAGCCAUGACAACUCAGGUCUCUGGAGCCAGCUCCGACUUCCGGGAUAGACCAGGCUUCUCUUAAGCAACAGCCAGAGUCUGCUAACGUGCCUGUGGGAUUACUUCAGCCUCCUCAGGCUGUCCCAUCCCUGUAGGCAGCAGCUUCAGGUGACCCCACACAAUCACAUACAGUUUCUGGGGAACAUACAGGUCCGGGGAACCCCAGUUUUAAGACACUUAACAGAGGAGGAGAAUUUCCUACCAGAAACAGCCAGAAUAUUCUUACACUUGUU